CGAAAGCCUGACGGAGCAAUACCGCGUGAGGGAUGACGGCCUAUGGGUUGUAAACCUCUUUUCUCAGGGAGGAAAUCAAUGACGUUACCUGAGGAAUAAGCAUCGGCUAACUCCGUGCCAGCAGCCGCGGUAAGACGGAGGAUGCAAGUGCUAUCCGGAAUCACUGGGCGUAAAGCGUCUGUAGGUGGCUUAACAAGUCAACUGUUAAAUCUUGAAGCUCAACUUCGAAAUCGCAGUCGAAACUGUUAGGCUAGAGUAUAGUAGGGGUAAAGGGAAUUUCCAGUGGAGCGGUGAAAUGCGUAGAGAUUGGAAAGAACACCGAUGGCGAAGGCACUUUACUGGGCUAUUACUGACACUCAGAGACGAAAGCUAGGGUAGC
rnacentral:rRNA from 1 species